GAGGAUAUAGCUCAAGUGGUAGAGCUCAUGCUUAGCAUGCAUGAGGUCCUGGGUUCAAUCCCCAGUACCUCCU
rnacentral:tRNA from 1 species